CCGGAAGCUUUCUCCGAGAGAAUCACUUCUCUCCCUGUGUUCGCGAAAGCAGGAAGGUAGAAGGUACGCUGCCAUGAGACUGACUGGUAUGAAGAUCCUUCUGCAGUUGCUUGCAAUUGCUUUGGCGUGCAGCAUGGCUUCGUCGUUUCCUUCGGACGGUCAGGACUGCCGUGAUGCCGUCUGCCCACAGUACUAUGUCGAGGGCUGCACGCCAAAAUACCCGCCGGGUUGGUGCUGCCCAGACUGGUCCCACUGCAACCAGGGUGGUCCCUUACCAUCGCUCGGUUGAGAGAAGCCUUUGGUGACAGUCGCCUGCUGAUUCUAAGCAAGUUUUCUUCUCAGCAACUGCAUAAAGUUUUUGAGUCUG